CUGUUGCACGUGUCGUGUAGGUGAAAACCUGCGUUCAGGUUCGAGCCGAGCGAAGCGAGACAGCGACGCGCCAGCGUUGACCCCGAAGGGGCGAGGCCAAAGGCCGAGUCAUCCUGCACGACCCACCA
rnacentral:sRNA from 1 species